rnacentral:rRNA from 1 species
CACGUAGUUAGCCGGUGCUUAUUCUUCAGGUACCGUCAUUACGCCAAGGUAUUAGCCCAGCGCGUUUCUUCCCUGACAAAGGCGGUUUACAACCCGAAGGCCUUCUUCCCGCACGCGGCAUGGCUGGAUCAGGCUUGCGCCCAUUGUCCAAAAUUCCCCACUGCUGCCUCCCGUAGGAGUCUGGGCCGUGUCUCAGUCCCAGUGUGGCUGGUCGUCCUCUCAGACCAGCUACAGAUCGUCGGCUUGGUAGGCCUUUACCCCACCAACUACCUAAUCUGACAUCGGCCGCUCCAAUAGCGCGAGGUCUUGCGAUCCCCCGCUUUCACCCGUAGGUCGUAUGCGGUAUUAAUCCGGCUUUCGCCGGGCUAUCCCCCAUACUGGGCACGUUCCGAUGUAUUACUCACCGUUCGCCACUCCGUCGCCAGGUUGCCCCGCGUUACCGUUCGACUUGCAUCGUGUAAGGCAGUGCCGCCAGCGUUCAAUCGUGAGCCAGGAUCAAAACUCU